rnacentral:rRNA from 1 species
CGCUAGGACGAACGCUGGCGGCGUGCUUAACACAUGCAAGUCGAACGAUGACGAUGGUGCUUGCACCGUCUGAUUAGUGGCGAACGGGUGAGGUAACACGUGAGUAACCUGCCCUCCUCCUCGGGAUAACCGCCGGAAACGGUGGCUAAUACCGGAUAUGAAUGCCUGCCGCAUGGUGGGUGUUGGAAAGAUUUAUCGGUGGGGGAUGGACUCGCGGCCUAUCAGUUUGUUGGUGAGGUAAUGGCUCACCAAGGCGAUGACGGGUAGCCGGCCUGAGAGGGCGACCGGCCACACUGGGACUGAGACACGGCCCAGACUCCUACGGGAGGCAGCAGUGGGGAAUAUUGCACAAUGGGCGAAAGCCUGAUGCCAGCGACGCCGCGUGGGGGAUGACGGCCUUCGGGUUGUAAACCUCUUUCAGUAGGGAAGAAGCGAGAGUGACGGUACCUGCAGAAGAAGCGCCGGCUAACUACGUGCCAGCAGCUGC